rnacentral:rRNA from 1 species
CCGUCGUGAGUGAAGAAGGCCUUCGGGUUGUAAAGCUCUUUACGCAAGGGAAGAAAACUUACUUUCUAUAAAGAGUGAGGUUGACGGUACCUUGAUAAGAAGCACCGGCUAACUACGUGCCAGCAGCCGCGGUAAUACGUAGGGUGCGAGCGUUAAUCGGAAUUACUGGGCGUAAAGCGUGCGCAGGCGGCUUUGUAAGUCAGAUGUGAAAUCCCCGAGCUCAACUUGGGAACUGCGUUUGAAACUACAAGGCUAGAAUAUGUCAGAGGGGGGUAGAAUUCCACGUGUAGCAGUGAAAUGCGUAGAGAUGUGGAGGAAUACCAAUGGCGAAGGCAGCCCCCUGGGAUAAUAUCGACGCUCAUGCACGAAAGCGUGGGGAGCAAACAGGAUUAGAUACCCUGGUAGUCCACGCUGUAAACGAUGGGCACUUGGUGUUGCGGGUAUCGACCCCUGCAGUGCCGAAGCUAACGCAUUAAGUGCCCCGCCUGGGGAGUACGGUCGCAAGGCUG